rnacentral:rRNA from 1 species
GAUGAACGCUAGCUACAGGCUUAACACAUGCAAGUCGAGGGGCAGCAUGACCUAGCUAUAGGUUGAUGGCGACCGGCGCACGGGUGAGUAACACGUAUCCAACCUGCCGAUUAUUCCGGGAUAGCCUUUCGAAAGAAAGAUUAAUACUGGAUAGCAUAACGAGAAGGCAUCUUCUUGUUAUUAAAGAAUUUCGAUAAUCGAUGGGGAUGCGUUCCAUUAGUUUGUUGGCGGGGUAACGGCCCACCAAGACAUCGAUGGAUAGGGGUUCUGAGAGGAAGGUCCCCCACAUUGGAACUGAGACACGGUCCAAACUCCUACGGGAGGCAGCAGUGAGGAAUAUUGAUCAAUGGACGAGAGUCUGAACCAGCCAAGUAGCGUGAAGGAUGACUGCCCUAUGGGUUGUAAACUUCUUUUAGAUGGGAAUAAAGUGGGCCACGUGUGGCUUUUUGUAUGUACCAUACGAAUAAGGAUCGGCUAACUCCGUG